UAUAUGGACAAAGACUUAUAUUUACAUACUUUUUUAAAUGUCUCGCAGGUCAGAGGGGGAAUCUUUGACAUCCCAACACAAGUGACGAUUGGUGAACCAACCAAUACCAAUGUUCCAGUACCCGACGGAGACAUUACACCGGUGGACGGAUCCUUUAGU